rnacentral:ncRNA from 1 species
AGUAUUUAAUGGUUAAAAAGAAAACUUGGAGAACUGAACCAUCUCAGUAUCCGAAGGAAAAAAAUUAACAAAAGUUCCCCAAGUAGUGGCGAGCGAAAUGGGAUAAUAAAUGUAAUAUUUAUUAUUAAAUAGUAAAUUAGAAAAUAAUUCUGAUUGAAGAAACAAGAACCUCCUUGUAAAAUAAAAUACUUUAAAGUAAUCAAUAGUGAACUAGUACCGUACUUCAGCCUCAGGAUGCGACGAGCCGACAUCGAGGUGCCACCCCUCCCCGUCAAUAGGAAUUUUCGGGGGA